rnacentral:lncRNA from 1 species
ACUUCCGGCAAUAAUCGCCUGGUCGCCGUCAGGUGCCGGCCCAGGUGGCAGGCGCGCCCGUUGGGCACUGGGGGACGCGGGCGCGUCAGGUGAAGACUGGGGGCUGCAGGCGCGCUAGGAGAACUAUGCCAUUUUUGGGUCAGGACUGGAGAUCUCCUGGAUGGAGUUGGAUUAAGACAGAAGAUGGCUGGAAGAAUUGUGAAUCUUGUAGUCAGAAACUUGAAAGAGAGAAUAACCAUUGUAACAUCAGUCACAGCAUAGGCAUGGCUAUUGCACCUUGGGAGAAACCUUUAAUCGGUUAGACUUCUCAAGUGCAAUUCAAGAUACCCGAAGGUUCAAUUAUGUGGUCAAACUGCAGGACAAAUUCGAGCAUCUUAAAAUGAUUCAACAGGAGGAGAUAAGGAAGCUCGAGGAAGAGAAAAAACAACUGGAAGGAGAAAUCAUAGAUUUUUAUAAAAUGAAAGCUGCCUCUGAAGCACUGCAGACUCAGCUGAGCACUGAUACAAAGAAAGACAAACAUCACCAAACCAAUGCAGACCAAACCAAUGCAGAACU